rnacentral:rRNA from 1 species
AUUGAACGCUGGCGGCAGGCCUAACACAUGCAAGUCGAACGGUAACAGGAAGAAGCUUGCUUCUUUGCUGACGAGUGGCGGACGGGUGAGUAAUGUCUGGGACACUGCCUGAUGGAGGGGGAUAACUACUGGAAACGGUAGCUAAUACCGCAUAACGUCGCAAGACCAAAGAGGGGGACCUUCGGGCCUCUUGCCAUCGGAUGUGCCCAGAUGGGAUUAGCUAGUAGGUGGGGUAACGGCUCACCUAGGCGACGAUCCCUAGCUGGUCUGAGAGGAUGACCAGCCACACUGGAACUGAGACACGGUCCAGACUCCUACGGGAGGCAGCAGUGGGGAAUAUUGCACAAUGGGCGCAAGCCUGAUGCAGCCAUGCCGCGUGUAUGAAGAAGGCCUUCGGGUUGUAAAGUACUUUCAGCGGGGAGGAAGGGAGUAAAGUUAAUACCUUUGCUCAUUGACGUUACCCGCAGAAGAAGCACCGGCUAACUCCGUG